AAUUUCCUUGUGUUGCAAGCAUCUUACCUCCAAGAACUGCUUGAGGCGUACGAAGGAACCCAUUUGUCCUGAGCUUGUGAUAGCUUCAAUUCUAUAGGGAGAG